rnacentral:rRNA from 1 species
AGGGCACCACCAGGAGUGGAGCCUGCGGCUUAAUUUGACUCAACACGGGAAAACUCACCCGGCCCGGACACUGGAAGGAUUGACAGAUUGAGAGCUCUUUCUUGAUUCAGUGGGUGGUGGUGCAUGGCCGUUCUUAGUUGGUGGAGCGAUUUGUCUGGUUAAUUCCGAUAACGAACGAGACUCUAGCCUAUUAAAUAGGCUCUCGGCUUUUAAACGCCGGGAGGACUUCUUAGAGGGACAGGUGGCGGUUCAGCCGCACGAAAGAGAGCAAUAACAGGUCUGUGAUGCCCUUUGUUGUCCGGGGCCGCACGCGCGCUACACUGAAGAGAUCAGCGUGCUUUACGUUCCUGCUCCGACCGGAGUGGGGAACCCAGUGAACCUUCUUCGUGAUUGGGAUAGAAGAUUGUAAUUAUUCUUCUUGAACGAGGAAUUCCCAGUAAAUGCGAGUCAUGAGCUCGCGUUGAUUACGUCCCUGCCCUUUGUACACACCGCCCGUCGCUACUACCGAUUGAACGAUUU